GAUACCUAGGGUGGAAAAUGAAGGUCUUUUAAUUGUGGGAGGGGGUGGGGGGGCAGGGUGUGAUCAGAGGACAACCUCAGUACUGGUUCUUGCCUUCUACCUCCUUGCUCUAGCUGGUCUGAGAACUUCCAGGAAUUCUGUCUCCACCUCUUAUCUCAACAUAGGAGCAUUGAAGAAGACUGGGAUUACAGAUGUAACUAUCACACCCAUCCUUACAUGGGUGCCUGGACUUCAAGCUCAUGUCCUCAUGCUUACACAGUCUCUAAGGAAGCGGUGGUUUCACAGCACAAGCUUGCAGCCAAGCUCUCCUAAUGCCCAACAGGAGACAGGUGCUUGGAAGUCCUUUGAGAGUCAUCAGGAGCCCAGCACACUGUAGGAAGAAUGAAGCUGAGGAUCUGGGGCACCAGAGCCAGUCAUGAAGUCCCCUGAGGACCCACUGGGUUGCCUGGAGGCCUUGCCAGCUCACCCGCCCAAAUACUCGGCCCGCCUUGCUCCGGAUCAACUCCAGGCUGUCUGGGUUUUUCUUCUGGGGCAUCAAGCUGCUUCCAGUGCUGGGGACAGAGGUGUUACUGCUGAGGUGCUGCUUAAGCCUGGCUGGCAUGCUGGCAGAGGCACUGGGCAGGUCUUGCAAAGGCUGGGGUGGACUGGGGUGGGAGGAAGCCAUUCCAGUUGGUACUGAGAUACGGGCCUUACCUGUAGGCAUCCGAGAGCUGCACAAAGUUGAAUUCCUUGGUGCCAUAGAGUAUAAGGUCCUCUGCCAUCCUGCUGAGGUGGGUCAUACACAGAGAAGCCCAAAACAGGAACUCCGCUGGAAGGGACAGCAGGCCUUUUCUUUUAAUUUACCCUCUGCCUAUUCACUCGAAGAGAUCAGAUCUCUCCUUCCACCGCAUGGGUUCAGGGCAUCAAACUCAGGCCAUCAAAGCUUGGUAGUAUGCAAAGGUUGAGUAAUCUUGCUGUCCUUAUUGUUGGUGGUGGAUUUUUUAGGUUUUUGUUUAUUUGAAACAGGGUCUUAGAUAGCUCAGGCUGGCUUCUAACUAGCAGAGUAUGUCCUUCAAUGAAUGGUUUUUCUGCCUCUGCUUCCCGAGUGCUGUGACUGUGGGUGUAAACCAAUAUGCCCACUUCAUGCAGUGCUGGGGAUCAAACCAAGAGCUUCCUGCACACUAAGCAAGAAGCCCACUUACUGAUGUACAUCCCCAGCCCUGGACUCCUAUAUCUUACCCACGAAGUCUCUUUCACUGGUGGCAUCCAUGCUGUUGAGUGUGAUGGCCCCAAAGUUCAGUUCUGGAUAUGAGGGAGGAAAAAUGGUCAGACUGGAAAGUGAGAAGUGCUCUUCUCUACCCUGAACCAGGAUUCCCAGGCUCAUCCUUGACCCCUUAUUGGAAAUGAGAAUUGAGGAGGAGUAUGAGGUGGGGAAGGGGGCCUCUGUACACACCUCAGGAGGGUGGAUGGAAGUCUAAGUAGUCCCAGCAAUAUGUACCCCUGCCAUAGGCAACCCCAUUAAUCUCAAUACCCAUAGGCAAGAUAUGAGGGCCUCUGCCCUCUCAUUGUGGGAGGCACGGAAGUCUUUGCACUCACAGAUAAGCACUAGGGGAACCAGGAAUGUUAACUAUACGGGGUUGUCACUUCAAAAGGAGGGCUGUCUAACCUGUUUUCCACCCAGAAGUCUGGGAGCAGAAAAAGUUAAUAGCCUGGAGACCUUUGCACUGUCUGUGUGGCUCAGACCACACCAGAUCCUCCUCUGGACCCUUAUUGUGAGCUUGUCAAUCUAUGGAACCUGUCUUUAUGGAAGGUGUCACGUGUACUUUUCAAAGAGUUUCAAAAUAGUCGUGUCUUAAGUUUUACUGUGCACGUGGGAUUGAAUUAAUUAUCACCAGAAAGAAUUUCAUCAAAUUGUGCUGUACUUAAAUAUGCCUAAAAUAGAACACUUGGUGUCAGACUACCAAAGUUUGAACCAACACUGGUUACUAAGUGAUGUUGAACCUACAACCCUGUGUUUGACAUUCGUGGCUCCCCUAGUGCUUAUCCAUGAGCACAAGGACCUCCAUUUUUCCCACAUGUCACCUCAUGUGUCUUUGGGACUCAGCAGGUGCUAAGAGUGACAGUCUCCAGACAAGGAUGAACAGGGUGUACUUCACCUGCUCGGAGUAGCUCCCGGUCCACACCCAGAGGGUUGCCUGCAAUGGCCCCGCUGUAGAGACAAGGGUUCAUAGUGACUGAGGUUUGGGUACUGCACACAUGCAACACUCAGAAUCAAGUCUUAGUUACUCAGCCUUUUCUGGCCUGGCCACCUUAAGGCUCCAGACAUGGGGAACUGAACCUGGGUCUUCUGUUAGAGCAGGCAGUGCUCUUAACAAUCUCUCUAGCCUUUACGAUUUUGUUUUUAUUAUUUUUAUUAAUGUGUACAUAUAUGCGCAUGUGGGAAUGUUGGUCACAUGUGUGAAGGUGCCCAUGGAGGCCAGAAGACGGCACUGGAUUCCCUGGAGCUGGAGUUAUAGGUGGGUUAUGAGCCGACAAAUUUGGGUGCUGGGAACUGAACCGGCUUCCUCCAACAGAGCAGCAAGUGCUCUUAACCAGUGAGCCAUCUUUCCAGCCCACCUUAGAGUUUUUAAUUAACAUGUAUAUAAUACAUACCUGAUUUCAUUAUGACAUUUUAUACAGGUGUAGAAUGUAUGUUAAUUAUAGUCACUCCUCAAUUACCCUCUUUUGUUCUCCUAUCCUGCUGAUCCCUUCUUCCAGCUCCUUGUACCUUCAUGUCUUUUCCCGUGACUCAAUGAGUCUCACUGAAAUUGCUUACAGGCUCAUGUGUGAGUCUUAACUACUGAAGAAAUAUCCCUCCUCAGCAACAACUGUCUGUAUAUAGACUCUGAGGAAGCAGCAGGGCUCACAAGCCCCGCCCUUUAAUCCCCAAGCUUUCUUUAGCCAUGCUGACCCUAUAUUCUAUAUGCUGCCAUACUCUGCGAUGCACCCUCACCUUCCAUCAGGCCUUGGGGACACUGAGGACUGCCUUACCUCCCCAGUGGCAGGACAUUGAUUCUCUUCUGCACCUCCAGCAGCCUCUCUGAAUCUCGUGUCAGCGCAACAGCGUGGCUGUGGGAAACCAGAAACUCAUGGGUUUUGGUAGGCAAAAAGACACCAAGGAGCCUCCCCUUCCAUCAAGACCCCUUCCUACUGUCCCUGCUCCACACGGCUCACCUCAGGAUCCAGUGACUCCAGCGGAUAGGCUGAGCCCUUUGCAGGUGUGUGUACCCUGGGAAGAGGACAUCACGUUCCCUGUAAUAGGAAAAGCAGGAGAUCUGAGGGGUUGGGUCAAGAAGGCUAGGCUAGGCUCUUCUCAUGGAAGGUGAAAACAGACCUAUGCAGCUCUGCCUGAACAAGGGACCAGAUGCUUACCAGAGGAUAAAACGGGUCUUUAGAGAAAAGAGGCCAGAAGCAAAUCAGUAAGAUCAAAGACUAAGCCAGGAAGGGCAAAGAGGUGCAAAUCUGCAGCCCCAGGGCUCAGGAAGUUGAGGCAGAGGAAUGCCCUAAGACUGAGACCAGCCUUGGCUAUAUAGUGAGUCCCAUGCAGCUUGGGUCACAGAUGAGACCCCGUCUGAAAAACAAAGCCCAGCUCUGGGUGUGGUGAUGCACACCUGUAACCCUAGUAUUUGGGAGGCCAAAGAAGGAGGACCUGUAGUUCAAGGUUAACUUUAGUUACAUAGUGGAUUUGAGGAUAGCCUGGGCUGUCUAAGGGGGGGGGAGGGGAGGAAAGUCGAGGACACGAAGGAAAGGAGGAGAUUACAUUUGAAGCUAGCCUGAGCUACAUAAGCAAGUCCCAGACUACCCUUAGUGUAUAACCAUCACCAUGUUCAAUUUCAGAAUACUGUCAUCAUGCCAUUAAAAAAAAAAAAAACCCUUAUAUUAAUUUGCCCUUGCUAUCCUAUUCUUCCCAACAUCCUACCCCUAUGUCCUUGUAGUCACAAUUAGUUGAGGCCUAUGAACAAGGGACACGGAGUCAGGAAAAAGGAGGGGUCAUCCUGAAUUCUGAUACCCUCUAAAAUUUUUCAGGGGCUCCUUUAUCAAGUCUUUAGGGGACAAAGCCAGUCCCAGGGACAUUAGAACAUGGAAGCAUGGGAUAAGGCUGGCAGGAGGCAGCCAUUGGCUCUGUUGUUUGCAUUCCACGUUAGGGUGGGAUGUGGGGUAAGAAGGUAAAAUACGGACUGAAGGGUGAUUGCACGAUGCAGGCUCAGUCAGGAACUUUCUUUGGGCACCUGGAGUUUUGUCUCCAAAGAUCCUUAAGAAUGACUGACGGAUCACUGCCCUCUGAUCUAGGCUGGUCUGGGUAGGAGCUAUUAAGAUAUGGUCGGCUCAUAGCCAAGUGGUGGUAGUGCAUGACUUUAAUUCCAGCAUUUUUGAGGCAGAGGCAGGUGAAUCUCUGACUUCUAGUCUAGCCUGGUCUACAAAGAGAGUUCCAGGAUAGCCAGUGCUACCCUGUGUCAAAAACCAAAAACGGAACCAAAACCAAAAAAGAUAUGCCGCACUACUUACUACUCUGUAUUUUUGGAGCUGUAAGUCCACCUAAUACCUCAGGACCUCAUUCUUCAACUCUCUUCACCCCUGCCUUCUAGGUCUUGCACUCAGAGAAGAACAGAGCCUGGUGGCCCUCUGGGACUCCUAGAGUCUGUUUUAAGGGUCAAGGAUUAAUCCUCUGAGUCAAACUGCUUCCAUCUUCAUGAGAGUAGUUGAGACUAUCACAAUUGGGCUUAUGGUACUGGGGAGAUGGCUUAUUGGUUAAGACCACUUGUUCUCACAGAAAGACCUGGUCCAGUCCCUACAUGGUGGCUCAUAGCUAUUCACAGCUUGAGUACCAGGGGACUAAUGUCCCCUUCUGACCUCCACAGGCAUCAGGCAUGCAGGUGGAGCACAUAUAUACACUCAGUCAAAACACUCAUAUAUAUAAAACAAAUCUAAAACAGUCUGUGGACUGUUGAGGUUCUCUUCCUCUGGGGAGGACCCAGAGCUUCUUUGGUCCUUCACUUGAGUAUUCUGCUAUUCUCUUGGGUCUUUACAUGCAAUUCUUCCCUAAUUGUACAUGGUCUGGCAUCUGGUCCCUGGAAGAGCUAGAGCAUAUAGGCUAGGGAAGACUGGGGAAGGAAGACUAGAACUCCAUCUUCUAUGCAGCCAUGGUGGAACCAUCAUUCAUGCUGGGUACAUACUCCCAGCAUGGCUGGUUUAGGGUUAUCAACAUUCAUUCCCUGCUUAGAUCGCUCCAGGGAGAAAAUUCUUGUGGCAGUGUCCCCGAGAAGACUUACGCCUCAGCCCGGUCAACCAUGCUUCCAAUGAGUGCCCAGAGAAGGGUGGAGAGUUUUGAGCAUGUCUGCCUCAUCCACAGCCUGAGGUCUGUGACCACCUGUGGAGAAGAGAAGGCUCACUCAGGAAGUGGAGCUUGUUGUGUCCCUGGAGAACCGUGACUGCAGCAGAGCUCCAAGAGCCUCCUGGGUUCCCAAGGUUGAAAAGUUCAUAGCAGAGGGUAGAGAGGGCUGGUGACACCUGGUCGUUGCGACUUCGUCCUGUAUGUAGCUUUCCUGCAGUUUCACCAAUGAGCUCCUAGGGGUGAAAAGGCAUGAGGGUUAGGCUAGAGCUCCCUGCCACCAGCGGGGACACUUGAAUCUAGGUAGUGAUCCUAGCAAGCUCUAUGGUUUUCCCUCCCUGUAUCAGGGACCCGGUCUUGCCCAAGUAUCUUGCCAUUUCUACUCUGCCAGUGAUGGUUAGUGCCCAGAGUAUGGUGAAAAAGAGAGACCGAUUGUUAGGAGGGGUUCAAACCUUCAAACGCCGUUCAUUAGCUGUGUGGAUGUCUUCAUCAUUAGGGUGUAGUUUGAAGGUGCCCUGGGCCCACUCGUCAGCUACCUGAAGCAGGUGGCAGCAACCCAGGAUAUCAGGUUGAUAGGCAUCAGGAGCCAGGAGUCUCCCUGCCUUGGUCUUAGAUCCAACAUGGUUAAAUGCCCUUGUCUGGAAGCUGAGCCAUAGAAUAUUUCCCAUCCCUAAUGGAUGAUCUCAGAACAGUCCACCUUGGUCUUGAGCCACAAGGAACCAUUAAAAGAUAGAGCGGGUAAUUAUAGCACCUCUCUAGUCAUCUACUUACCAAAAGGUCAAAUAACAAAUCUGGAAUACUAGAGCUUGUGCCCCAGGAUAUAAGAGCUGGUAUAUGGCUCAGUGGUAAAACACUUGUCUAGAAUCUCCCAGUGAGGGGCUGGGGGCGUGGCUCAACAGUAGAGCAUUUACCCAGCAUGCACCACAGCUCUAGGUUCUAUCUCCAGCAUCAGAAUAAAGGAGGGAAUAAAGGUGAAUGUAGUGCUUAGGGAUUUUAGGUAGGAGCCUAGGUUCCCAGGGGAAUGGAUGAAGGGGCGACUGGGGACACGGAGGCUACCUUGUCCAGGCCUUGCAGUAUCUGCUGCAUCUCAGCUUUGGUGAGAAGUCCUGCCUUUUCCAGGCCCCUGCUGUAGGCCUUGCUCCCCUGCACAUCCACGUUCCACAGAUGCCGGUCAUAGGAGAUGGAGGAGUUGAACUUCUCCAUGAUAGGGUCAACAGCACCCACAAAGCGGCCACCCCAUAGCUUCCCACUCUGGACAAGAGGAAAGAACAGAACAUACUCUCAAAAGGGACCCUCAGGAGAGUUACCCAGAAAGACAUGGGGUAGGCAUUAGACAUUAUUCUCACUGGAUAGAUAGGACAACUGAAAUUCAGAGGGUCAGGAACUGGGUGAGUGUACCAGGGAAUAUGGCAGACACAGAAGUCAGUGCUCUUUCUCAACACAUGGCAUGGACCAGGGAGAUGGCAGCUUUCGUGGGAUCACAACAGAAUUUUUGUUGUUGUUGUUUUUUUGAGACAGGGUUUCCCUGUGGCUUUGGAGGCUGUCCUGGAACUAGCUCUUGUAGACCAGGCUGAUCUCGAACUCACAGAGAUCCACCUGUCUCUGCCUCCCGAGUGCUGGGAUUAAAGGCGUGUGCCACCACCGCCCGGCCAGAAUAUUUUUAAAUGAGAGAUAACAUAGUAUGUAUUUAUUCUAUGAUGUGUAUGUAAAUUUAUAUGUUGUAUAUGAAUAUAUACAAAUAUAUGUGUAUAUACAUAUGUGUAUAUACACACAUAUAUUAAUAUAUUAAUACUGGAGAUUAAACCUAGGGACUCUUGCCUGUCAGACAAGCAUUGUUCUUGAGCUAUAUAUUAACAGUCCUCUUUUAUCUUAUUUAUUUUUUGAUUUUUUUAUUUCAUCUAUGUAUAUGAGUAUUUUGCCUGAUAUAUGUCUAUAUGCCAUAUUCCAGCCCCUGUUUUUGUAUCAUUGUUUUUCUAAAAAGACAUUAGCUGAUCUCCCAACCCCAGGCACCAAAGGGCAGAAGAAUAGGCCAGAGAGGCCCCUGCUUGGACAGAGGAGGGCACAGGCCAGGAUGUGGACAGUUGGUAGGAUGGGACAGAGAAUAUACAGGAAGCAGAGUGCCCAGGACUCGAAGGAGAGUGUGGUGAGAACAAUGUCAAGGGACAUGGCAUGUCGAUCUUUCUGUGUGUGGGGGUAGGUGUCUACAAGCGUCACUGGGGACAUACCACUUCUGCCCCAGAACUCAGAACUGACCCCUGUUCCUCUUCUCUUAGUCUCCCUACUCUGCCGGGCCAUAUAAUAAACAUGUCUUAUGUCUCA